rnacentral:misc_RNA from 1 species
GCCCAACCGUAAACUUUUAAUUACACCACUAUCGCCUGGGAACUACGAGCAAAGCUUAAAACCCAAAGGACUUGACGGUACCCCACAUCCACCUAGAGGAGCCUGUCCUAUAAUCGAUAACCCCCGUUUAACCUCACCAUUUUUAGCUUAUCAGCCUGUAUACCUCCGUCGUCAGCUUACCACGUGAGCGACUCUUAGUGAGCUUAACGCCCUUACGCCAAUACGUCAGGUCAAGGUGCAGCAAAUAAAAUGGGAAGAGAUGGGCUACACUUUCUAUCAUAGAAGAUACGAAAAACUAUUUAUGAAACCUAGUUAGAAGGUGGAUUUAGUAGUAAAAAGAGACAAGAGAGCUCUUUUUAACAUGGCACUGGGGUGUGUACACACCGCCCGUCACCCUCUUCAAAGCUAACAAAAAGUUAAUAACACAUCUUAGCACUACAGAAGAGGCAAGUCGUAACAUGGUAAGUAUACCGGAAGGUGUGCUUGGAAACAAAAUAUAGCUUAACUAAAGCAUCUCGCUUACACCGAGAAAAUAUCUGUUAAAUCCGGAUUAUUUUGAGCUAAAAACCUAGCCCCUCAAUACCAAAUGAACCACUUAACCUCAUCUUAUAAACUAAAACAUUUUAUAAAUAUAGUAAAGGCGAUUGAAAAAUUUGUAGGAGCAAUAAUAAUAGUACCGCAAGGGAAAGGUGAAAUAAAAAUGAAAAAAAUAUCAAGCACAUGACAGUAGAGACUAACCCUCG